rnacentral:rRNA from 1 species
AUUGUAGUCUGCAACCCGACUACAUGAAGCUGGAAUCGCUAGUAAUCGCGGAUCAGAAUGCCGCGGUGAAUACGUUCCCGGGUCUUGUACACACCGCCCGUCACACCAUGGGAGUCGGAAAUGCCCGAAGUCGGUGACCUAACUGAAAGGAAGGAGCCGCCGAAGGCAGGUCUGGUGACUGGGGUGAAGUCGUAACAAGGUAAC